GACGAACGCUGGCGGCGUGCCUAAUACAUGCAAGUCGAGCGCAGCCGGGACGGGUGAGUAACUUGUGGAUAACCUCCUAUAAGACUGGGACAAUUUCGGGAAAACGGAGCUCAACUGGAUCCUUAUAUAUGGGUCCGCGCUGCAUUCGCUAGUUGGUCAGGUAACGGCUUACCAAGGCAACGAUGCAUAGCCGACCUGCGAGGGUGAUCGGCCACACUGGAACUGAGACCGGGUCCAGAGUCCUACGGGAGGCAGAAGCAGGGAAUCUUCCGCAAUGGGCGAAAGCCUGACGGAGCAACGCCGCGUGAGUGAUGAAGGUCUUCGGAUCGUAAAACUCUGUGAUUAGGGAAGCGGUACCUAAUCAGAAAGCCACGGCUAACUACGUGCCAGCAGCCGCGGUAAUAC
rnacentral:rRNA from 1 species